AUAAAUUCGAUUUACUCAGUUCACCGAUACAGCUUUUGCCCAUUGUCCUUUAGAGUAAUGAAAUUUAAAAUGAAAUUCUAAGAAAGCAUUGAUUUAAUUGUAUUUGUCUCAGUUAUUAGUCAGAUUUAAUAAGGUCUUAAUAAUUUUAUUUUCAUCACUGUGACUCAAAAUAGGUUUUACGUUUAUUAAUAAGCCAUAGACUGACAAAUUUCUCAAUAAAUAACAGAUGUAACUGUUAUUUACUAAUUUGGUUCAGAACAUAUUGAGUUAGUCAUGUUCGUUCACUUUGUCACAUCACUAUUUUUUCAAUAAAAAAUGGUAUCACAGGAAACUUAAUUGGAGAUCGUUUAAUUUAUUAUUCGACUAUAGUGAACAAGUGACAUAGAAUUUAGAGAGUAAUGACAAAGCUAUUUUAGUGUUUGCGUUUAGUUAGUUUUGAUUUGAAAGGAAAAUAAAACUAAAUUAGAUAGGAAAUUUAGGGUCCUUAGUAAUUACAGAAGUUUUAAUUAAUGAUCGUUACGAGUUUAAAAGCAUAGCAGGUAGUUUCAGCCGAAUUCUCAAAGACUUCCAUGAGAAUUUUCGCGCAUUGGGGGAAGAUGCCAAUAGGUCAUGUACCACUUGAAGUAAGCGAUGUUAAUGAUUAUGAGGCUACUUCAAUGACACUGGGCGGCAGUAACAUGCGCCACACUCUGGAAGCGUUGGGCGAUCUGUCUACUAUGAAUGUGGUUGAUCUGAAAAUUAGAAUUGAAGAGAUGCUUCGCAUUAAGGCUUCAGUGUCAACUGAAUUGCGCGAAUUAGAAGAAAGGCGGGGCAAACUACAAAGAGAGGCAGCAGCGGCUAGUGCCAAGUCGGACAGUGUUAAAGCUGAAUACGCUCGAGCGACAGCUGAACUGCAAAGGCUACGCGUGUCCGCCGACCAGGCUCGCCUUGCGCAACUCGAGGCUAUCCGACGAGACUCCCCCGAGCUGGCGCCUCCCGCACAAAUCCUUCCCUCACAGCCACCUCCCAUCCUCUCGCCCAUCAGCUCAUCCUCCGAAGUCCAUUGUCGUAUGCAUUCGUGCUUCGACCACUCCCGUUGCUCUCUCACCUCUGGUUUCCCAAUUUAUUUUUACGAUCCCGAGAAAUAUUCCCCGCUCGCCGGCGCCGAAGUUGAUGGCUUCCUCAAGACGACCUUGCGACAAACGCUGAGUUACAAUUCCCAUUUGACGCACAAUCCUAAUGAAGCGUGCGUUUAUCUCAUUCUGGUCGGCGAAGGAUUCCCCCUGGAUAAAAGCCCUUCUUCAACAACAGACACGUACAAGUUGUCGUUGAAUGAGAGUGCUAUAAAAAGUUUGCCGUACUGGGGUGGCGAUGGACGAAACCACGUUCUGUUGAACUUGGCGAGACGCGAGCUGUCCGUUGGGUCUGGUGACGCCUUCCACACUGCGUCUACAGGCAGAGCAAUGAUCGCUCAGUCUACCUUCACCAUGCAGCAGUUUCGGCCAGGCUUCGACCUCGUGACCCCGCCCGCGCUCGGACCCCCUGGGGGAGACGUGUGGGCUGACUGUGCUCCCAUAGCACCCGCGAGACGGAAGUACAUACUCAGUUUUCAGGGUUCGCAAACACCAUUGCCGGCGGCAUCGAGCGUAGACAACGAUAAGUUCCUCAUUGAGACGCUAAGAAAAGCUGCGAGCGCAGCUCCGCUGUCCGAUGUGUUUUUCUUACAAUUUGAGUGCGAUCCGCCGAUAGAGAGGCGAGCCGUCGUCCCGAACGGUGACUGGGCGCUGUGCGGCACCGAUCGCUCGCGACGCUCUAUUUUGCGAGAUUCUACUUUUGUUUUAAUAUUAGCGCCAGCCGAUAACAGUUACGCCACGACGGCCCUUUUACAAGCUCGAUUGUACGAAGCGUUGCGGUCCGGUGCUAUACCCAUAAUUUUAGGCGGCGAUCGAAUCCGCCUGCCCUUCGACGAAGUACUCGACUGGCGUCGAGCGACGCUGUCUCUCCCUAAGGCUCGGGUGACGGAGUUGCACUUCUUACUGCGAGCGUUGUCGGACGCCGACCUGCUCGCAUUUCGGAGGCAAGGCCGCGUUUUGUGGGAGCGCUACUUGAGCUCGGUGCAGGCCAGCAUGGACUCGUUGCUCGCGACCGUACGAACGCGGCUGAACAUACCGGCGCAGCCCGCCGUCGCGACCCUCGGGGCGCCCGCUUUCAACGAUUCCUACUAUCCGCCCAAACUGGAGCCGCCGGCCGUCGACACGGAACCUGAGGAGACUCUCGGACCUUCGGAAGCUCCGUACCCCAGCCCGGCCUAUCGUCGAAACUACUCUUUGGCCCUGCUCCACGGAUACGAAUUGUGGAACGAGUGGGGCGAACCCUUCGCUCUGUAUCCGCAGCUGCCGUGGGACCCGCCGGUGACAUCCGAGGCGCGGUUCAUGGGUUCCACAGCUGGUUUCCGGCCCAUCGGCGCGGGCGCGGGCGGCUCCGGGAAGGAGUUCAGCGAAGCGCUGGGCGGCGACCGGCCCAGGGAGCAGUUUACUAUCGUCAUACUGACAUACGAAAGAGAAGCGGUGCUAGCGGCGGCAUUAGCGCGACUACGAGGGUUGCCGUAUUUAAACAAAGUGGUGGUGGUGUGGAACGGCGUGUCGGCGCCCGCGGCGACGCAGGCGUGGCCGGAGUCGGGCGCGCCGGUGGCGGUGGUGCGCGCGGCGCGCAACUCGCUCAACAACCGCUUCCUGCCCUACAACGUGAUCGACACCGAGGCGGUGCUGUGCGUCGACGACGACGCGCACUUGAGACACGACGAGAUCGUGUUUGCGUUUAGAGUGUGGCGCGAACAUCGCGAUCGGAUCGUUGGAUUUCCUGGCAGGUACCACGCCUGGGACCUCAACUUUAACAAUGGAUUCCUUUAUAAUUCUAAUUACAGCUGCGAGCUGAGCAUGGUGCUGACGGGAGCCGCCUUCGUGCACCGCUACUACCUGUGGGCGUACUGGCGCGCGCUGCCGGCCGCCGUGCGCGACUACGUGGACGAGUACAUGAACUGCGAGGACAUCGCCAUGAACUUCCUCGUCGCGCACAUCACGCGCAAGCCGCCCGUCAAGGUGACGUGUGUUUGUACCGCUACUACCUGUGGGCGUACUGGCGCGCGCUGCCGGCCGCCGUGCGCGACCACGUGGACGAGUACAUGAACUGCGAGGACAUCGCCAUGAACUUCCUCGUCGCGCACAUCACGCGCAAGCCGCCCGUCAAGGUGACGUGUGUUUGUACCGCUACUACCUGUGGGCGUACUGGCGCGCGCUGCCGGCCGCCGUGCGCGACUACGUGGACGAGUACAUGAACUGCGAGGACAUCGCCAUGAACUUCCUCGUCGCGCACAUCACGCGCAAGCCGCCCGUCAAGGUGACGUCACGGUGGACGUUCCGCUGUCCGGGCUGUCCGGUGACGCUGUCCGCUGACGAAACGCAUUUCCACGAGAGACACAAGUGUAUACAGUUCUUCUCUCAGGUAAUGGGUUAUACACCCUUAUUGUCUACGCAGUAUCGCGCCGACUCGGUACUCUUCAAAACGAGAAUACCUCACGACAAACAGAAAUGUUUUAAGUUUAUAUAAUAAGCUAACUAAACUAACUAACAAGAAUAAGUUAAACUGUACAUAGAUAGUAAAGUACAUGAAAAUAAUUGACGAGAAGAUUGUUAGUAGAUUUUAGAAAUUAAUUGCUAGGAUUAACUACAAGAUAUAAUAAAAAAAUCAAUUUAUCAAGUUAAGUACAUAAAUAUGACAACUUUUAUAAUAAAAGCACAAAUAGGUACUUUAAUUUAAAACGAAAUUAUGUAUUAAAAUUAUUUACACCUGUAAGUAGACCUAACAUGAUUCGACGACAUAUAUCGUGAAGAGAAAGACAUAUUGUCAACCAAUAGCGGCGGAAUCGCAAAUAUCGCUCUCUCUUUCGUAUUAUCGCAAUGAUAGAGAAAGCAAUAUGUUGUAGACCCAUAGGAUAUAAUAAUACCUAUAGGCUUAGCCUAGCCUAUAGGUAUUAUUUUUUUUCAAGAUUUAAAAUGAUUUUAUAAGGGCUUUUUCAUUCAUCAUUAUCAUCUUUUGCCCUUAUUGUUUAAGGUUUUAAUUUUUUUUAUUUAGUGAAUAAAUUAAUUUGAAUAGAUUACAAGACGAUCAAAAUGACACACAAUUAAAAUUAACCAUAGACAGCUUUCGGCUUUACCUAAUUCUAAGUAUGUGGCGUGUAAAGCGUUAAGAUAUAUAUAUAUUUUCCAUUUUCUGUUAUAAUAUCAAGUUGAAUCACUCUAGAUGUAUAAAUACUGUAAAUAAAGACAUAUUGGAAAACUGUACAGCUUCGUAGAUAGUUGAAUAAAAUACUAUGUUCUUAGGAUAACGUAAUCUCAGUAUUGUCUCAUUAAUUGCUAUGUAUAUCUUGAAUGCAUGUAAUCGUAUUGAAGAGUAAUGUUUGAAACCUUUUUUAACACAUUGCUCGAAUGAGUGUUGAAUCAAUGUAGUAAGUCCAUUGACCUCUUAUAAUAAAAGGACGCACAAUCAUAUAGAAAAUGUCACUUAAAAACUGGCCAAUUUUGCUUUGGCAUUUUUAGUAUUAUUGGUAAAGAAAAUUAUACCUAAAGGUCUUUAAAUACAGUCCAAUAUAGAAUAAAAUCCCAAAUUCGGAGCAAAUUCAACCUUAGGGAUUGAGUUUAAGGUAGAAUUUGCAAAUGCGACUACUUGAAUUGAGUGCCAAGAAGUUGUGUUUGGCACUCAUUGAGUGUCCCCACUUUUUUGGUCGCCGAUUGUGCAUCCACUUUUCAAUAGGAGAUCGAUGAGUAAGCCAGGUUUUUUUGACGGAUUUUUUUAACAUAUGAAUUGUAAAAUAGAUAGUAGGAAUAUUUUUACUGUUUUGUUUAUUUAAUUAUUUUUACGUGGUUGUAUUUGUACUCGUAUGUAUAAGAAAAUCACUGCCGUAGUAUAUACCUACUGUAUACUAAAUCUAUAGUAUAAGGAUAAAAAACUAUGUCCAUCUGUACUUGGUUAUCAUAAAUUUGUUUUUUUAAUGAAUUCCUUAACAUAAAAGAAACUGACUUCAUCUUCGUUACGUACCCAGUUGUUUUAUAAACUUAAUAAUAGUGUUCAUAUAGACUUGGAAACAUGGUUUUUAAAACUACAGUGGACUACGGUUUCAGCUAAAUCGACCGAAGCGCGAUUCUAUAGUCUGGCAAGUUCGUUGAUGACACUCCCAUGAUAUGCGGGCGACGAGGGGAAAGACUGCGCGGGUGUGAAAUCGUGCGUGCGCCCGCUCCCGCAUCGGCAGUAUUACGAACGAAGUUGUCAAGUUAUAAACUGGCGCUUAUUUAUGUAACUUUUUUUUUCUGAACGUAUUUUUUUUUACCAUAAAUUCAAAAUUUCAGCAUAAAUUUAUAGCAAAGAUUUUUUUUUAAUUGCACAUACAUUAAAUAAAUAACGCUAACGCUUCUAGAACUAGCAAAAUGUAUGUGAAAAAUAUACUCAAAGGCACAAUUAUCCGCCCACUUGUAUUCAAUCGCAUCAUAUUAAAGUUGACGGACAAUUGUGCCUCUGAGUAUACAUAUAAAAUAGACGAAAAAUAUUAUUUCAAAUAUUUAUUAAUUAUUUGAAAAUUAAAAUAUAAAUUAAAAUUUUUCAACUAGAUAUAUCUAUAGUAGAUAAUACAGAUACGUAGUUUCGUACAUUGUUUUCUUCAAUUAGUAAGUAUCGUGUCUUAAACUAGGAAUUCAGAUUUUUUUUGUAGAAUAAGUCUAGUGGUAUCUAAGACUGACUAACAAUUUUAUUAAGCUCAGGUACUUUAAUUUUUAUAUAAAUAUAAUAAUAACUAUGUGCCCAUAAGUUUCCAAAGAUGAUUUUGAACAUUACUUGUCUUUUGACUUUGUGUGUCUUGUAUAUAUUUUUAUUAUGUUGAUUUAUUGAAAUAUACCUAUGUAGAAUGAAAUAGCAAA